rnacentral:rRNA from 1 species
CAGCCGCCGCGGUAAUACGAAGGGGGCUAGCGUUGCUCGGGAUGACUGGGCGUAAAGGGCGCGUAGGCGGCAUAUACAGUCAGGCGUGAAAUUCCCGGGCUUAACCUGGGGGCUGCGUUUGAUACGUAUGGGCUAGAGUGGGGAAGAGGGUUGUGGAAUUCCCAGUGUAGAGGUGAAAUUCGUAGAUAUCGGAAGGAACACCUGUGGCGAAAGCGGCUCACUGGACCAUUUCUGACGCUGAUGCACGAAAGCUAGGGGAGCAAACAGGAUUAGAUACCCCCGUAGUCCCUGUCUCUUAUAA